rnacentral:lncRNA from 10 species
CCAAAACAGGCAGAGUGGGUGGAGCUGGGCAUUGGAGCUUGAGGGUAAGCUGGGUUUGUCUGAGGGGCUCUGUCUUCCAGGAGCUCACCUUUUCAAAAGGUGUGAGGGAAGGAAGGAGGCUAUAGGCCCAAUAAGCAGUUGGCAUUUCCUGACAAUUGUUUCAAACACAAAGCCAGCAGGAGCUGCUCCCAGCGAGCCCCGCUUCUCCCCAUAAUCUAGCCUUGGGUAACAGGCUUCUCCCAGGAGAUCACUGUUCUCAGUCCCUGGCAAGAGCUGGCCCCAUGGGGAGUGCUUUGUUGAUAGUGCCCAGUGCCCAGCAACCAGGCUGGGUUUGGGAAGGAGGCUGGAGUCUUCAGGAGGAAGGUCCUGCCCAAGAUGGUGCAGAGGGGCAGGAAAUCAAGAAAAAACUCCUAAAACUACACAGAUCAAGAAGAAACUAUGUGAGAUGUUAUUUAGAGACAUGAAAGUGAACAUUCCAAAGAAUCCGUUUCAAGAGUCGAAAGUGGCCACCCUGGAGAUGGGUCAGGGCUGCAGUUGUUCAUGACUAACUUUGUACAUUUCUGAGAAAUCUAUGCUUAUGUGUAACUUCUCUUAAAAUAAAAAAUUUAAUAAAAUCCAAAGCAAAAAC